rnacentral:lncRNA from 1 species
CUGAGUAAUUGCUUUGCUUAUUGCAUGCUAAUUGCUGAAAAUUGCUUUUUAUUUUAAAUUCCUUAGCUAAAAAUUGCUUUUUCUUUCACAUUUCUCUGCUUAUUGAAUGACUAUUGCUAACUCAUUAGAUAGAACCUACUUCUCAUAUAAGUAGGUGGAUGCGGCCUCGAUUAGCGGGGGAACCACAUGAAAAAAAGCGAGCUACUGGGUGUACCUCCUGGGUAGUUUGGAAAUCACCUAAUAUAUAUAUGUAUAUAUUUAUAAAUAAAAGUUAAUAUAUAUAAAUUAACAUUAUUUUUUUUUAACAGGAAAUGCACAAUGCUAAAAACUGCGUAGGAGAUUUUAAUACAAUAGUACUACUAAGCCUGAUGUUGGCCGCUAUUUCAAUGAAUGCAGCAGUGUCACAGCUAGCAAUCAAAAGUAACAAGAUACUGAGGAAAUGCAGAUGGCAAUAAACUGUGUAGGAGUUCAUGAUUGCAAUAGAAUAAAAUCGACCAAGCCUGAAGUCAGCAGCCCCUUCAAUGAAUGCAGCAGUGUGACAGCCAGCAAUCAAAAGUUACAAGAUAUCGAGGAAAUGCAGAUGGCAAUAAACUGUGUAGGAGUUUAUGAUUGCAAUAGAAUAAAAUCGACCAAGCCUGAAGUCAGCAGCCCCUUCAAUGAAUGCAGCAGUGUGACAGCCAACAAUCAAAAGUUACAAGAUAUCGAGGAAAUGCAGAAGGCAAAAAACUGCGUAGGAGAUCAUUAAUACAAUAGUAUUAUAUAAACCAAGCCUGAUGUUGGCCGCUCAUUCAAAGAAUGCAGCAGUGUGACAGCCAGCAAUCAAAAGUAACAAGAUGUCGAGGAAAUGCAGAGUGCAAUAAACUGUGUAGGAGAUUAUGAUUGCAAUAGAAUAAAAUCGACCAAGCCUGAAGUUCUUCAAUGCACGCAGCAGUGUGACAGCCAGCAAUCAAAAGUUACAAGAUAUCGAGGAAAUGCAGAAGGCAAAAAACUGCGUAGGAGAUUAUUAAUACAAUAGUAUUAUAUCAACCAAGCCUGAUGUCGGUAGCUUCUUCAAUGAAUGCAGCAGUGUGACAGCCAGCAAUCAAUAGUGAUAGUGACCAGAAUCUAGGAAAUACAGAAGGCAAAGAAGCAGAUGUCAUCAAAGAAGAUCUUUGUUCCUGCAAUGUUUCCGCAGACGAUACAUCCAACAGAGCGAAGUGGAAGGAAAAGACUCGGAAAAAAGAGCCCACCACCAUAUGGGAACAAUGCAAGGGAGAGA